AGCAGCCGCGGUAAUUCCAGCUCCAAUAGCGUAUAUUAAAGUUGUUGCAGUUAAAAAGCUCGUAGUUGAAUUUCGGGGUUAGUAGAUUGGUCAUGCCUCUGGUAUGUACUGGUCUCACUGAUUCCUCCUUCCUGAUGAACCUUAAUGCCAUUAAUUUGGUGUUUUGGGGAAUUUGGACUGUUACUUUGAAAAAAUUAGAGUGUUUAAAGCAAGCUAACGUUUGAAUACAUUAGCAUGGAAUAAUGAAAUAGGACGUUCGAUCCUAUUUUGUUGGUUUCUAGGAUUGACGUAAUGAUUAAUAGGGAUAGUUGGGGGCAUUAGUAUUCAAUUGUCAGAGGUGAAAUUCUUGGAUUUAUUGAAGACUAACUACUGCGAAAGCAUUUGCCAAGGAUGUUUUCAUUAAUCAAGAACGAAAGUUAGGGGAUCGAAGACGAUCAGAUACCGUCGUAGUCUUAACCAUAAACUAUGCCGACUAGGGAUCGGAUGAUGUUAAUUUUUUAAUGACUCA
rnacentral:rRNA from 1 species